AUUGAACGCUGGCGGCAUGCCUUACACAUGCAAGUCGAACGGUAACAGGUCUUCGGAUGCUGACGAGUGGCGAACGGGUGAGUAAUACAUCGGAACGUGCCUAGUAGUGGGGGAUAACUACUCGAAAGAGUGGCUAAUACCGCAUGAGAUCUACGGAUGAAAGCAGGGGAUCGCAAGACCUUGUGCUACUAGAGCGGCUGAUGGCAGAUUAGGUAGUUGGUGGGAUAAAAGCUUACCAAGCCGACGAUCUGUAGCUGGUCUGAGAGGAAGAUCAGCCACACUGGGACUGAGAAACGGCCCAGACUCCGACGGGAGGCAGCAGUGGGGAAUUUUGGACAAUGGGCGCAAGCCUGAUCCAGCAAUGCCGCGUGCAGGAUGAAGGCCUUCGGGUUGUAAACUGCUUUUGUACGGAACGAAAAGCCCCGGGUUAAUACCCUGGGGUCAUGACGGUACCGUAAGAAUAAGCACCGGCUAACUACGUGCCAGCCGCCGCCGUAA
rnacentral:rRNA from 1 species